CCCCCCGUGGCUGUCGAUGGGGAAAGGAAGGAUCAGCUUCCACACGGAAUCUGGUGACACCACCUCCAGACAUGAUCCACCGGAAAGAAGGCGAGCGGCAGCAGAGCGCGUCCUGGAAUCCCUGCCGCCCACGGACUCAACCUACUACACUGACGGUUCCACGGAGAAGGGGUUUGGAGUUGGCGGAGGGGGAGUUGUCCGCAUCGAGCAAGGCCGAGGCAACGCGACCUGGAGCGUACCGGCCGGCAAGUGGUCAAGCUCGUACCGGGCCGAGCAAGUGGCUUUCCUGGCAGCUGUGAGGGACGCAGCGGGAGCCCCAAAGGAAGUCAAGACGACCCGCCUGUGCACCGACUCACUCUCACUGGUAACCUUCCUCAAACAGGGUACCAGAGGACCCGCCCCAGAAACCCUUACCGAGAUAUGGACAGGCCUGAACCAUCUCAGUCGCAGAAAAAUGAACGUGCAAAUCGUCUGGAUCCCUGGCCACGCAGACAUCGCGGGAAACGAGCAGGCAGACCAGGCUGCAAACACCGGAAGGACCCUCCCUCAAGAAACGGCCAAGAUCGACCUCCCGUCGGCGAAAGUGGCCAUCCGUGGUGUGUGCUGGAAGAAAUGGUCUGGCACGUACCACACCACCGUGCCCCCGGAGCACACACACCGGAGAGCGACGGACGGGCGCUGCCUGAAGUAUGAGAGUGAAUGGGCCAGACGGGACCAGGUUCUGCUCCAUCAGCUGCGAGCGAACCGCUGUCCACUGCUCCAAGCCACACUAGCCAGAUGGAACAGGCCGGACACCGACGGCCUGUGUCCCGAGUGUGGCGUGCCGGAGGACACGGAACACGUGGUCUGCGAAUGCCCGAAAUACCAGGCGGCGCGGUCUGCGCUCCUCGGCCACACCCCGACACUGACGGUGCUACAAGAGGACCCGGACGCGGUGCUGAGGUUCUUCAGGAGGACUGGCCUCCUGCCGGAGGCCCGAUGAUCGGCCCGCCGGAAUCGCCGGACAACAGAAGAAGAAGAAGAAGGUGCCAGGUAACACAAUUGGCAUUAUAUCACUGCCCUACAGAGUCGGUGGGAUGCACAACUGACCUGGAGAUGACGUGAUUGUUUCUGGACAUUGUCUGUAUGCGCGCCUCGUAGCUGGUGAUAACAUGCUGCCAUUUCUGCUGGGUGACGUCAGGCCCACAGCUGGAUCGAACCGCGCUGUCUCCAGAACCACCGCCAGAUACAACCUGGUGGAUAGGAUGAUAACUCAAGAACCACACAACGCUCGAGCUCCCCCCCCCCCCACCAAAAAGGCACCCAGGAGCACAUGAACACCAAUGCACAAUCACCUGCACAACACAGCACAUGCUCAAGGAUGCCUGGUGCAUGGUGGGGUUUGUAGGUCUACACAGCAAUUCACGCUUAGCAUGGGCUCUGGCUCAAUUCUUCCACAUUUAUGCAGGGCAUACUGGUACACUGGAGGGUACACAUUUCCAGAUUGGUUGAUAUAGAAUGAUGCGGAUUAGUCGAACUAAGUGAUGCAUUUUGCUUGCCUUUUUGCCAAGUAUUGUAGUCUGUUUCAUACUUACGUCUUCGUCUCCGCGUCAGCAUGACACUGCUUUGCUUCGCAUAUUCCAUGCAGAAUCGGCAAAUGAACCUCGAUUGCUUUGAAGAAUAUAAAAAUGUGCAGCAUCCAUUUGGGCACAGACCUGCUUUCUUGAAUGCAAAUCAAGGCUACGAACGAGCCAGGACUUGAGGCAAACUUUGCCCUGCCGUGUUGCCCAUAAUUGUGGCAUGAAAACAAAAAAAAAACACUGUUUCCUAGUGGCAUUGUGAUUGCAAAUUUCCAACCCCUGCAAAGAUCUCAAAAGAGCACAAGAAAAAGGAAAUGUCAAAAACGUCAACACCCCAUACAAUCUCUACACAACUCUUUUAUGUUAUGCGCUUCACAACUUCUACCAUCAACAAGCUGCACAAUUUUAAAUUGAAUUGAAUUGAAUUGAAUUGAAUUCCAAUGUGCCUAAUCGGCCUAAUCAAAACAAAUUCAAAAAUCAGGGAUGUUCUCCGUCAGCAGCGAACACGCCGUUAAACCAAUCAAAUGAGAGCGCUGGCGUUCGCUAGCGAUAGCAGUACAGUAAACUGUGCGCAGCUGCAGGUGAUAAUCAUGGUCUGCAGUUUUUAACAUCGAAUUUCGUACUGAGCCCCAAUUUAUUUUGUAUAAAACCUUACACCAGCAGAUAGAAAAUUUAAUUUUGUAUAUUAUUGUACUAUAAAUAGAUGCCGACUCGGUUUUAUUUCUUAGAAAUAUUCCAUUGAUUGCUACAGUGUGACUUUUGGCAGCAAGGAAGCUCUCACAUUCUAGACCCAAAAAAUAUAUCUUAUUACACCGAAACUGCAAUAAAACAUGCUUAUCGGGAAAGAAAAUUUAAUUUUUAUUAUGAUGAAUACCUUUUAUGAGCCCAUCUGCGGUAGGUUUACCAACUAUGAAUGUUUUUGUUCAAGACUGUUUGGUACCCAAAACUUUAAAUUUCAACUUUGGAAGGGAAAUUGACAAUGAGCCCCAAUUAGCUGAGCUUUAAUACUUUUACAUGUUAUAGUCUGUGCAUUUUUGCACAUUUUGGUGGUUUAUUUAGAUGCCGACUCGGUCUUGUUUUUAAACAAUAUCAAAUUUAGUGGAACAGGGUGACAAAGAACACCAAUGGUGGUGAUGUAUUCAACAUGGAUUAAUUCUAGUUUUGAGCAUUAGUAAAUGCAAAACACACAUAAAAUAUGAAAGACAAUUCAAUUUUUGAUAUUGACUGCUACUGAUUUGAGACCCACACCACGGUAUUAUUCGAGAAUUCGUGGUAUAACUUUGGCAGGUCCGGCGGGAUGACAACUUUGGGAGCAUGGUGGUUUCGAAAUUCAAAGAAGCAAUAUUAGGCUAUGAUAAUAGUUUUUCACUAUUAGUUUUUAUUUUUAAGGAUGAAAACACAUUUUCGUUACUAUAGAAUCCCUACAACCUAAGAUUGAUUAUUUUCGAAAUGGCGUGGCCGGCUUCAAAAUUAUCUUCGCAAAUACUUUACAGAUAUACACCAGUCCUGCCCUGAAUACAUUUCUGGAUAAUAUAUAUCUAAAUAAUAAAACAUAUAAAAAUAUGAGGCCUAGUUCCCUUUUUGGAAUGAAAAGACCAGCUGAAAAUAGUGGUCAAAAUACCUUAGUGUUGUGGCGGCGAACCGGUUUUACCUAGUUCUCUAUAUACCGUGGCCGCGGCGACCGUCGGAGGUGGUCUUCCUCCCCCUCCUUACCUCUACCUCCCCUCUCAUCACCUGAGGAUGGCCUAGGGCCGAAAAUUUGUGCACACUUCUCUUCGUCGUCCUCUCUUCGUCGUCUUCUCCUCAUCAUCGUCGACUACAGCAUCGUCUUCACAUCAUCUGGAGGAUACCGCAGCGUCUGGGGAUGCUGUGAUGACCAUCCAUCAACUACCUACUGAGAUGCUCUGCUACAUACUGAGCUAUCUCCCUCUCCCUGAACAGCUGAAGGUAGCUACAGUUUCGUGGUGUUGGAAAAGGGCAGUGGAUGACUGCCUUGCAAAGCGUCGGCACUUCUCCGACGAGCUUAUUCCUGGACUCAAAUCACAGAGGGUCACAGACUGCUGGCUGGAGAAAGUCCUUUCCCGGAUGUCUGGCGUCCAGAACUUCGCCGGCGUCAGAGGUGUUGACAUGGACAUUGCUAUUCUAAGUGAUUCGACACUGUCACCAGCUGGUAACGGCAAAUCUAUACAUGUUUCGCGUUACCGUCUCCUCACUGAAACGCCUGUGUCAGAGCUGUCCAAAGCUAAAGGACAUCAUUCUCCCCAAAUCAUGUGAUGACGCAUGUGUCGAGGAGCUGAUCGACGGCCUACCAGAGCUCUCUGCGCUAAGUUUGACAAU